rnacentral:rRNA from 1 species
UACGGAGGGUGCAAGCGUUAUCCGGAUUCACUGGGUUUAAAGGGUGCGUAGGUGGACAUUUAAGUCAGUGGUGAAAUCUUUGGGCUUAACCCGAAAACUGCCAUUGAUACUAUUUGUCUUGAAUUCUCUGGAGGUAAGCGGAAUAUGUCAUGUAGCGGUGAAAUGCUUAGAUAUGACAUAGAACACCCAUUGCGAAGGCA